GACAGAGGAUGCAAGCGUUAUCCGGAAUGAUUGGGCGUAAAGCGUCUGUAGGUGGCUUUUUAAGUCCGCCGUCAAAUCCCAGGGCUCAACCCUGGACAGGCGGUGGAAACUACCAAGCUGGAGUACGGUAGGGGCAGAGGGAAUUUCCGGUGGAGCGGUGAAAUGCGUAGAGAGUCGGAAGGAACGCCCGUGGCGAAAGCGAGAUCCUGGACGUCUACUGACGCUGAGACGCGAAAGCUAGGGAGCGAACGGG
rnacentral:rRNA from 1 species